GAAUGACUACAGCUCUAGCUCAGGCUACUGAAUGCAGAAGUCCUCUGUGCUCUGCGAGACCUCACUGACACAGAAAUGGACCUGGAAUCCAGUCUGAAAGUAAAGUGUAGCUCAACUCCUGACUCAAUUCUCCAUAAGAUUGUAGAACUACGUUCUCUUCCCAGGGAAGAUGUGAGCCCUCUUUUGUGUUUUGGAUCUCUCUGGCAUCCAAGAAGUAUACGAGCUUUUUCUCAGAUACCGGGAAAUGGGGGAGGUAUAACAUAGAAGCUGCUCUUCCCUGAGACGAGAGGAUCUUCUCACAAUGGGGGAUGCUCUGUCCCAGCAGACAGUGGAGACGGUGAAGACCUUGUGUUCAUCUCAGUUCUUGGACUCCCUGAAUUCUCUUUUUAAAAUCUUUGUGUGGAGCUGAAGAGAUGGUUCUGCAGUUAAGAGCACUUGUUGCUCUUGUAGAGGACCUGGAUUUGCUUUCCAGCACCUGCAUACAAUGGUGACUCCCAAACACCUGUAACUCCCGUUCCAAGGGAUCAGACAUCUUCUGAUUUCCUCAGGCAUAUGAUGCCCAGACAAAAUACCUAUAAACGUAAAAUAAAUGUCUUUACAAAUU
ensembl:lincRNA Gm26863 predicted gene, 26863